rnacentral:rRNA from 1 species
GUAGUCUCGCACAGAUGCAUAUCAAUAAGCGGAGGAAAAGAAACUAACAUAGGAUUCCCCUAGUAACGGCGAGUGAAGCGGGAAGAGCUCAAAUUUGAAAUCUUAAAGGGUUUCCCUUUACGAAUUGUAGUUUAAAGAAGUGUUUUCUGUUGAGGUUUUAGGUAAAAGUUCUUUGGAAUAGGGACAUCAUAGAGGGUGAGAAUCCCGUAUUUGACCUUUACUUUCAACUUUGUGAUACACUUUCAAAGAGUCGGAUUGUUUGGGAAUGCAGUCCAAAAUGGGUGGUAAAUUUCAUCUAAAGCUAAAUAUUGGCGAGAGACCGAUAGCGAACAAGUACCGUGAGGGAAAGAUGAAAAGAACUUUGAAAAGAGAGUUAAACAGUACGUGAAAUUGUCAAAAGGGAAGCGUUUGACACCAGUGUUGUUUUUCUGAAAAUCAAUUAAAGAACUGUUUAUGCUAAGCUGUUUAGACUUUAUCAGCUAACUGUUUAGUUUUGAGCUUUUCUUCAAUGCACUUUUCAGUUAACAAGCCAACAUCAAUUUCUUUUGCUGUAAAAAAGCUUGAGGAAGGUGGCUUGAGAUUCGUCUUAAGUGUUUAUAGCCUCUUGCCUAUGCAGUCGGAGAGAUUGAGGUCUGCAGCGUAGAUCCUUCGGGGCUAAAUGCAUUUGUGCUAAGUUAUAACAUUUUAUAGACAACUUGUUGACUAUGAUUUGUCUUGUAGCUUACUCGCUUAUGUUAUUUUACCUACGCUUAGGAUGUUGAUCUGUAGUGCGUGCGC